rnacentral:rRNA from 1 species
UACGUAGGGUGCGAGCGUUAAUCGGAAUUACUGGCGUAAGCGUGCGCAGGCGGUUUGUAAGCCAGAUGUGAAAUCCCCGGGCUUAACCUGGGAAUGGACAUUUGGGACUGCAAGGCUUGAGUGCGGCAGAGGAAGACGUGGAAUUGCCUGGUGUAAGAGUGAAAUGCGUAGAAUACUCAGGAGGAACACCGAUGGCGAAGGCAGGUCUCUGGGCUGACACUGACGCUCAUGCACGAAGGCGUGGGGAGCAACGAAGAUAGAAACCCCGGU